rnacentral:rRNA from 1 species
GAGGAAAGAUGGAGGCGUGCCUAAUACAUGCAAGUCGAGCGAACGGACGAGAAGCUUGCUUCUCUGAUGUUAGCGGCGGACGGGUGAGUAACACGUGGAUAACCUACCUAUAAGACUGGGAUAACUUCGGGAAACCGGAGCUAAUACCGGAUAAUAUUUUGAACCGCAUGGUUCAAAAGUGAAAGACGGUCUUGCUGUCACUUAUAGAUGGAUCCGCGCUGCAUUAGCUAGUUGGUAAGGUAACGGCUUACCAAGGCAACGAUGCAUAGCCGACCUGAGAGGGUGAUCGGCCACACUGGAACUGAGACACGGUCCAGACUCCUACGGGAGGCAGCAGUAGGGAAUCUUCCGCAAUGGGCGAAAGCCUGACGGAGCAACGCCGCGUGAGUGAUGAAGGUCUUCGGAUCGUAAAACUCUGUUAUUAGGGAAGAACAUAUGUGUAAGUAACUGUGCACAUCUUGACGGUACCUAAUCAGAAAGCCACGGCUAACUACGUG